rnacentral:rRNA from 1 species
CGCAUCUGUGCAUGCAGCAUAUCAAUAAGCGGAGGAAAAGAAACUAACAAGGAUUCCCCUAGUAACGGCGAGUGAAGCGGGAAGAGCUCAAAUUUGAAAUCUUAAAGGGUUUCCCUUUACGAAUUGUAGUUUAAAGGAGUGUUUUCUGUUGAGGUUUUGGUAAAAGUUCUUUGGAAUAGGACAUCAUAGAGGGUGAGAAUCCCGUAUUUGACCUUUACUUUCAACUUUGUGAUACAGCUUUCAAAGAGUCGGAUUGUUUGGGAAUGCAGUCCAAAAUGGGUGGUAAAUUUCAUCUAAAGCUAAAUAUUGGCGAGAGACCGAUAGCGAACAAGUACCGUGAGGGAAAGAUGAAAAGAACUUUGAAAAGAGAGUUAAGCAGUACGUGAAAUUGUCAAAAGGGAAGCGUUUGACACCAGUGUUGUUUUUCUGAAAAUCAAUUAAAGAACUGUUUAUGCUAAGCUGUUUAGACUUUAUCAGCUAUCUGUUUAGUUUUGAGCUUUUCUUUAAUGCACUUUUCAGUUAACAAGUCAACAUCAAUUUCUUUUGCUGUAAAAAAGCUUGAGGAAGGUGGCUUGAGAUUCGUCUUAAGUGUUUAUAGCCUCUUGCCUAUGCAGUCGGAGAGAUUGAGGUCUGCAGCGUAGAUCCUUCGGGGCUAAAUGCAUUUGUGCUAAGUUAUAGCAUUUUAUAGACAACUUGUUGACUAUGAUUUGUCUUGUAGCUUACUCGCUUAUGUUAUUUUACCUACGCUUAGGAUGUUGAGUCGUAGAGCACGCAG